GCUCCUGAAGGUCAAAUAGAAAGAAAGUAAUGUUAAUAAACCAUUAGAAACAUUCCUGUAACCUGAUUUUCUGCUAGAGAACAAUGCUAAUUGUUGACCAUGUAAAUAUAUUUGUCCUCAUGUGGAUAUGUUUUAAAAGGACAUCGUCAUCAUCAGACCCGGACACUUUACUGAGCUCUUUACGGUCCAUACUUCCACAGAAUAUGAGCAUUACUCUUAAUCCCAGUUAUCCCAGUAUGGAGAGUUAAAGUGGUUCCUUCCAGUUCCUGCAGUGUGACCGUCUCGUCUCCAGCUUCACACACUCCAGUGUGUUGUGUUUGCAGUAAAGGAGUAAACUUACAGCACAAUAGGAGGAGAACAGACCGGAGAAUCCACUUUCCUGCUAAAAUGGUCACCAUGUUUUUAGUCCACAGUAAGCGUUUCUCAGACAAAAUAUUU